rnacentral:rRNA from 1 species
UACGUAGGGUGCGAGCGUUAAUCGGAAUUACUGGGCGUAAAGGGUGCGCAGGCGGUUAUAUAAGACAGAUGUGAAAUCCCCGGGCUCAACCUGGGAACUGCGUUUGUGACUGCAUAGCUAGAGUACGGUAGAGGGGGAUGGAAUUCCGCGUGUAGCAGUGAAAUGCGUAGAUAUGCGGAGGAACACCGAUGGCGAAGGCAAUCCCCUGGACCUGUACUGACGCUCAUGCACGAAAGCGUGGGGAGCAAACAGG